rnacentral:rRNA from 1 species
CCCGUACACAAAAAUGCACAUGCUGUGAGCUCGAUGAGUAGGGCGGGACACGUGGUAUCCUGUCUGAAUAUGGGGGGACCAUCCUCCAAGGCUAAAUACUCCUGACUGACCGAUAGUGAACCAGUACCGUGAGGGAAAGGCGAAAAGAACCCCGGCGAGGGGAGUGAAAAAGAACCUGAAACCGUGUACGUACAAGCAGUGGGAGCACGCUUAGGCGUGUGACUGCGUACCUUUUGUAUAAUGGGUCAGCGACUUAUAUUCUGUAGCAAGGUUAACCGAAUAGGGGAGCCGAAGGGAAACCGAGUCUUAACUGGGCGUUAAGUUGCAGGGUAUAGACCCGAAACCCGGUGAUCUAGCCAUGGGCAGGUUGAAGGUUGGGUAACACUAACUGGAGGACCGAACCGACUAAUGUUGAAAAAUUAGCGGAUGACUUGUGGCUGGGGGUGAAAGGCCAAUCAAACCGGGAGAUAGCUGGUUCUCCCCGAAAGCUAUUUAGGUAGCGCCUCGUGAAUUCAUCUCCGGGGGUAGAGCACUGUUUCGGCAAGGGGGUCAUCCCGACUUACCAACCCGAUGCAAACUGCGAAUACCGGAGAAUGUUAUCACGGGAGACACACGGCGGGUGCUAACGUCCGUCGUGAAGAGGGAAACAACCCAGACCGCCAGCUAAGGUCCCAAAGUCAUGGUUAAGUGGGAAACGAUGUGGGAAGGCCCAGACAGCCAGGAUGUUGGCUUAGAAGCAGCCAUCAUUUAAAGAAAGCGUAAUAGCUCACUGGUCGAGUCGGCCUGCGCGGAAGAUGUAACGGGGCUAAACCAUGCAC